CAGUGUCAUUAUUUAAUGACAUUUGGGUAUUAUUUAGAUUUAUCCAUUUUUGUACUACUGUGCAUGUACAGGCUCCGUAUUUAUCAUAUGUAUAUGUGUACGCAGUUGUAUCGUAUGCUAUUUAUAUAUAUAUGUAAACCUGUUUAACAGGUCAGAGGUCAGAGUUAUUUUUAUAGUAGAGUGACCAUGGGUCAAUGCGCACCCGCGCUUUUUAGGGUAGCGUCACUCCCGUACUAGGCACCGUUGUGAGUGGACGUGUAUAUGUUGCGUCUAUAUAUUUAGCGCAUCCGUGUUGUACCAAUCUACAUCACUCAUUUAUAUGCGCUGUAAUAUUGUACGGGUUGUCUCCCCGGGAGUCGAGCCCUCUUCGUCAAAUGAAGAGGGUGUUUUAUGGACUAAUAAAUUAUGAAUUGGAA